UGUAUUGCCGGAUGCAGGUUCUGGUGUGUCCGUGGUAAUGGCGGAGGUCACCGGCAGUGUGAGGAAUGCAGUAAACAAGCUAUCUGCCUUCAAAACGUUAUUAAGUCUUCAUCAUCAUCCUCAUGGUCCUGUGGUGGAUUCCCGCGCGUUGUGCCGUAAAUCUAACGGUAAACAGCACUGUUAAACUGCUACAGUCAGAAUCUGUAACCCGGUUAACAGUAAGUUGUGUGUCCACUGGUGUGCUGCUGACUGUGUGUGGGCGCUUCAUAAUAAACACGCACAGCUCUACAGACCCCAGAUCAGUGGAUGCUACACCCUUGUGUCUGCUAAACACUGGUGUCUGCUGUUAAGACCGGUGGGAUCACGGUUAUACAGCUGCAGGACAGCAGAUGAGAGCUCUGGGCUGCUCCACCGCAGCCGCACCGCCUACUAUGACAUCCUGAAAGUGUCUCCGAACGCGACGCAUGCGCAGAUAAAGAGCGCCUAUUAUAAGCAGUCCUUCAUUUACCACCCUGACCGGAACCGCAGUGAGGACGCGGCACGACAGUUCGCACUCGUAGCCGAAGCCUACAAUGUGCUGGGCAGCAGCAGUCUCAGGAGGAGAUACGACCGAGGCAUCUUGACCCAGAAAGAGGUGCAGAGCUCAGGCAGACCUGCGGCUCCUCCGCCCCCCCGCCGCGCUCCGGCCUCCGGGAAAACGGCACACUUUGACUUUGACGCGUUUUACCAGGCGCAUUACGGAGAGCAGCUGCAGAGAGAGAAACUGCAGAGACUCCGACAGCAGCAGAUCCAGCAGCGGCGCAUGGAGAUGCAGAAACAGUGGAGACGGGAGCAAAUCACCGGAGUCUCCGUUAUACUGCUGCUGCUGCUCGGAGGCGUCAUCAUCAACAGCCUCAAAUCAUGAGUCAGGGAAUGUUUGGGGAGAUUAAACCUUAAAUGCAUUAGAAAGUUUAAAGUGGUCAUGUGGGGAUAGCUCACCCAAAAAUAAAAUAAAAAUUCUGCCAUCAUCAGAUUAUAUUUGAGUUGAACACAAAGGAAGAUGACCUGAAGAAUGCUGGAGAAUAAAUUCAGCCACUGACUUCCAGAGUAUUUUGUUGUUCCUAUUAUGGAUAUCAACAGCUGUUUUUUCCCCAGCAUUCUUCAGAAUAUCUUGCCUUGUGUUCAAUAAAAGUUUUGACACACCUGAGGGUGAGUAAAUAAUUAAGACAUUUUUAUUUUGGGGUGAACUGUACCUUUAAUCAUGGCAGAGUCUGUUUCCUAUGGAAGCUUGUUCACAGAAUAAAAUAUAUAUAUAUAUAUUUAAAA